rnacentral:rRNA from 1 species
UUUAAUAUUUAAAGUCUAGCCUGCUCAAUGAAUUUUAAAUAGCCGCAGUAUUUUGACUGUGCAAAGGUAGCAUAAUCAUUAGUUUCUUAAUUAGGAACUUGUAUGAAUGGCUGAAUGAGAAAUAAUCUGUCUCUAUUUAAUUUAAUUAGAAUUUUAUUUUUAAGUUAAAAAGCUUAAAUUUUUAUUAAAGACGAGAAGACCCUAUAGAGUUUAAUUUAUUUAAAUAUAUAAUUUUUUAAGAAUUUAAAUUUUACUUAUUUAAAUAAAUUUUGUUGGGGUGAUAGAAAAAAUAAAUUAACUUUUUUUUAUUGUUACAUUAAUUUAUGAUUUGUUGAUCCAAUAUUUUUGAUUAUAAGAUUAAAUUACCUUAGGGAUAACAGCGUAAUUUUUUUUGAGAGUUCUUAUCAAAAAGAAGUUUGCGACCUCGAUGUUGGAUUAAAAUUUAGGAUUGGCGUAUAAGUUAAUCUAUUAAGUCUGUUCGACUUUUAAAAUU